CUCUACCCUAAAUGCGGAAAGUGAGGGAGGUCUUAGGCAGUCACGUUGCAGUGGGGUAAAUCCACAUGCAUUAAUCUGAAGAAUGAAGCCUUUCCUGCUUUCUGUCCCACAAACUCUGAAAGGCCCUUUCCUUCCCAGGGCUUCUACCUGAAACAGUUCUUCAUUGGUUACAGUGCAGUUCUCAUUUUGACCCCACCAAGUACUCUCAAACUGGUCACUUCCCAUCAGUGCCUGAAGUUUCUCUGGAAAGCUGAGGGCUGUGAAGACAAUGGUGUUGCCAGUGCUCUCCUCAGAAGAGGUAUGAGGUGAACAUUUUGUUUCCUGCUCAUUGGUAAAAUGCUGUGAGUCCUUUUCUUCUUCUGUCAGUGCUCUGGCAGCAGCCCAAGCUGUUCCUUGAUCCUGAGGAGCAUUAGGAGAAGGGCAGCCCGAUGUCUCAGCCAGCUCCUCUAAAUCCCAAACAGGAGGCUCCUGCUACAGAUGGCUGACUUGCAGUAUCUCCUGUCUCAGCCUGACCAACUUUUCAGUCAUCUUUGCGAGGAGCCACUCUUUGCCCUACUAGUUGGCAAGCAAAAUCCCAUGGAGCUGUCGGGGUUUCUCUGGGAGAUGUUCAGGUGUCACCAUGGCACCCAUGUGUCAUCACAAUGACAUCUUCACAUGGUGCCCAAGGCCUGGCUGGCGCAGCAACCAGAGCGGGCAUUGCUGACCCACUCUUGUUGCUGGUCCUGCACAGAACCACGGAUGUUGUCAUUUGAGUCAAGGAGCAAACAAAUCUGUGUCUGAAGAGGAUAACUCGUCACCUAGACCUCGCUUCCCCUUCCCUGUGUUAUCCUCCAAUUGAUCCCUUCUGGCCUCCUUGAUGUCCCUCUGGUUCUCCAGACUGGGCACGGCUUCUGCAAGGUCACAUCCUGCUCUUCAGGAUCAAGUGCUUUACCUGUAGAGGAUAUUCCAUGAUUCUAUGGAUAUAUACAUGAAAUGUGGUUUGCGAUAUGAUGGGAUUUCAGCAAAAAAAGCAAAGUCAGCUCACGCAGGCCAGCAGGAAUUGGAUCAUUGCAUGGUGCACCUGGUUAAGUCAACUCUACUUGAUGCUGACGUUUGGCCAAUGAACAGAUGUGAGCGCCAUAUUGAGGAAAACCUGAGGAUCACACCUAGUUUGCAGAGAAUCACACUUAUAUGUGACACACAGAAGUGUGAACCAAAUAGGACUGAGCAUUCAAGAUGAGCAUUAUUCUCUUG
rnacentral:lncRNA from 1 species